AUGGCGCAGGUGAGACACCCCACGCUACUACUACCCCGAUCCACUCGCACCACCGAACUCUCUCGUGAAUUCCUCAAAAAAGAACUCUCGCGACCUCACCCCCACCCCUGUGUCGACCUCCUCUCCCCCACGAUCUCCUCCCCGCCGCCACCACCCACGCCCGCCAGUUCCUCGCCGGCCACGCUCCUCCGCCGGGCGCUCCAGCUCCGCCGCGCCAUCCCCUUUCCAGCUUCCUCGCGCGCGAUCCUCUCCGCGGCCUCCAGCCGCCUCCUCUCCGUCACCGCCUCCACCGAGCAGAACACCGCCGACACCGCCAUCGACCUCUCCAACGAAGAGAGCCGCCGCCGCCUCGUCAACAGUAUGAUGUACAGGAGCAAGCAGAGGGGCUUCCUGGAGCUCGGGACCUGGGUGGAGCAGGACGUCCGCUCCAUGGACGAGGCCAACAUCCGCUCCCUGCUCCAGAUCCUCGACCUCAAGAGGCUGCUGAAGGGCACACUCAAGAACAUGGGACUGCUUCAGAACAAGAAGCAUGUGCAAGUCUGGUGUAGACAAACAAGACAUCUGGACGAGAAGAAAAAGAAGUGCAAGGCUGGUAAGGUCGAGACUCAUCUUGAAUUCCCUGGACGUGAAAAGGUUAAAUUUGGUGAAGUUGUCGAAGCUCCACCAAAGUUAUCAUUCCCAAAGAGGUGA
rnacentral:rRNA from 1 species